UACGUAGGGUGCAAGCGUUGUCCGGAAUUAUUGGGUGUAAAGAGCUCGUAGGCGGUUUGUCGCGUCUGCUGUGAAAACUCGGGGCUUAACUCCGGGCCUGCAGUGGGUACGGGCAGACUAGAGUGCGGUAGGGGAGACUGGAAUUCCUGGUGUAGCGGUGAAAUGCGCAGAUAUCAGGAGGAACACCGGUGGCGAAGGCGGGUCUCUGGGCCGUAACUGACGCUGAGGAGCGAAAGCGUGGGGAGCGAACAGG
rnacentral:rRNA from 1 species